GGCCACAUCACGCUGAAACACUGAUUCUCAUAUGAUCACUGAAGUUAAGCAGUGCCAAGCCUAGUCAGUACCUACAUGGGUAACCACUUGGGAAUACCAGGUGCUGUAAG